rnacentral:rRNA from 1 species
UGGGGAAUAUUGCACAAUGGGCGCAAGCCUGAUGCAGCCAUGCCGCGUGUGUGAAGAAGGCCUUCGGGUUGUAAAGCACUUUCAGCGGGGAGGAAGGCGGUGAGGUUAAUAACCUCAUCGAUUGACGUUACCCGCAGAAGAAGCACCGGCUAACUCCGUGCCAGCAGCCGCGGUAAUACGGAGGGUGCAAGCGUUAAUCGGAAUUACUGGGCGUAAAGCGCACGCAGGCGGUCUGUCAAGUCGGAUGUGAAAUCCCCGGGCUCAACCUGGGAAAUGCAUUCGAAACUGGCAGGCUAGAGUCUUGUAGAGGGGGGUAGAAUUCCAGGUGUAGCGGUGAAAUGCGUAGAGAUCUGGGGGAAUACCGGUGGCGAAGGCGGGCCCCUGGACAAAGACUGACGCUCAGGUGCGAAAGCGUGGGGAGCAAACAGG